CGUGUAGGCGGCUUGGUAAGUCGGAUGUGAAAGUCCCGGGCUCAACCCGGGAAGUGCAUUCGAAACUGCUAGGCUUGAGUAAGAGAGAGGAAAGUGGAAUUCCUGGUGUAGAGGUGAAAUUCGUAGAUAUCAGGAGGAACACCGGUGGCGAAGGCGACUUUCUGGCACUAUACUGACGCUGAGACGCGAAAGCGUGGGUAGCAAACAGGAUUAGAUACCCUGGUAGUCC
rnacentral:rRNA from 1 species